GAUGAAGAACGCAGCGAAAUGCGAUAAGUAAUGUGAAUUGCAGAAUUCAGUGAAUCAUCGAAUCUUUGAACGCACAUUGCGCCCGCCAGUAUUCUGGCGGGCAUGCCUGUUCGAGCGUCAUUUCAACCAUCAAGCCCCAGGCUUGUGUUGGGGACCUGCGGCUGCCGCAGGCCCUGAAAACCAGUGGCGGGCUCGCUGUCACACCGGGCGUAGUAGAUUUUAUCUCGCUCAGGGCGUGCUGCGGGUUCCGGUCGUUAAAAAGCCUUUUUUACCCAAGGUUGACCUCGGAUCAGGUAGGAAGACCCGCUGAACUUAAGCAUAUCAAUAAGCGGAGGA
rnacentral:misc_RNA from 1 species